UUUGGGCGCGUCUCCCUUCUCGGGAGACCCUCUCAACCCCNGCGAACCCUUGACCUCAAAUCGGGUGAGACUACCCGCUGAACUUAAGCAUAUCAAUAAGCGGAGGAAAAGANAACUAACAAGGAUUCCCCUAGUAACUGCGAGUGAANGCGGGAAAAGCUCAAAUUUAAAAUCGGGCGGUCUUUGGCCGUCCGAGUUGUAAUUUAGAGAAGCGUCUUCCG
rnacentral:rRNA from 1 species